rnacentral:rRNA from 1 species
UAUGGAGCUUAAGACGUAAGAGCAGCUCAUGUAAAGCACCCCUGAACAAAGGAAAAAACCAAAUGAAACCUGCCCUAAUGUCUUUGGUUGGGGCGACCGCGGGGAAAUACAAAACCCCCAUGUGGACUAGGAACACAUAUUCCUAAACCCAAGAGCUCCCGCUCUAAUAAACAGAAAUUCUGACCAACAAGAUCCGGCACAUGCCGAUCAACGGACCGAGUUACCCUA